rnacentral:piRNA from 1 species
UGUGUACCAUAAAGCAGGACAGGUAC